rnacentral:rRNA from 1 species
UUUCGCAAUGCCCGAAAGGGUGACGAAGCGACGCCGCGUGGGUGAGGAAGGCCUUCGGGUUGUAAAGCCCUGUCAGGAGUUAAGAAAUGUAAGUGCGCUAAUACCGCAUUUAUUUGACGAAGGCUCCAAAGGAAGUCACGGCUAACUCUGUGCCAGCAGCCGCGGUAAUACAGAGGUGGCAAGCGUUGUUCGGAAUUAUUGGGCGUAAAGAGCACGUAGGUGGGUUUGUAAGUCAGAUGUGAAAGCCUCCCGUUCAACGGGAGAAUUGCAUCUGAAACUACAGAUCUUGAGUGUAGGAGGGGAGAAUGGAACUUCUGGUGGAGCGGUGAAAUGCGUAGAUAUCAGAAGGAACGCCGGCGGCGAAAGCGAUUCUCUGGCCUAUUACUGACACUCAGUGUGCGAAAGCUAGGGUAGCAAACGGGAUUAGAUACCCCGGUAGUCCUAGCCGUAAACGAUGGGCACUAAGUAGAGGGGUUUUA